UGCCAGCAGCCGCGGUAAUACGGAGGGUGCAAGCGUUAAUCGGAAUUACUGGGCGUAAAGAGUACGUAGGCGGCUUUUCAAGUCGGAUGUGAAAUCCCUGAGCUUAACUCAGGAACUGCACUCGAUACUGGAUCGCUAGAGUAUAUUAGAGGAUAGUGGAAUUUCAAGUGUAGCGGUGAAAUGCGUAGAUAUUUGAAGGAACACCAAUGGCGAAGGCAGCUUACUGGACAAUAACUGACGCUGAGGCACGAAAGCAUGGGUAGCAAACGGGAUUAGAUA
rnacentral:rRNA from 1 species